AUUGAACGCUGGCGGAAUGCUUUACACAUGCAAGUCGAACGGCAGCACGGGGGCAGCCCUGGUGGCGAGUGGCGAACGGGUGAGUAAUACAUCGGAACGUGCCCGGUCGUGGGGGAUAACGUAGCGAAAGUGACGCUAAUACCGCAUACGAUCUGAGGAUGAAAGCGGGGGACCUUCGGGCCUCGCGCGAUCGGAGCGGCCGAUGUCAGAUUGGGUAGUUGGUGGGGUAAAGGCCUACCAAGCCGACGAUCUGUAGCUGGUCUGAGAGGACGACCAGCCACACUGGGACUGAGACACGGCCCAGACUCCUACGGGAGGCAGCAGUGGGGAAUUUUGGACAAUGGGCGCAAGCCUGAUCCAGCCAUUCCGCGUGCAGGACGAAGGCCUUCGGGUUGUAAACUGCUUUUGUACGGAAAGAAAAGGCUCUGGCUAAUACCUGGGGCUCAUGACGGUACCGUAAGAAUAAGCACCGGCUAACUACGUG
rnacentral:rRNA from 1 species